GAUACAAGCCCUAGCCUCCUCCAUCUCUCUCUCGCCCUCUCUCAAAGUCGUUGCCGCUCCACCACCGCCAUCAUCGUGCGCCGCUGUCGGUGAUGGUACAAUCGGCCCUAUUUUUCCACCCUAUUCUCUCCUUAACCUCCUCUCUCCAAAUCUCCAAGAUAAAUUCCCUAAGAAACCCCCCUCAAAACCCACGCAUUUUAGAUCUUAGGGAACCCUAAGCCGCUUUUUUUUCACAAAUUCGGGAUGAUUGAGCCACCAUUUCCACCUAAUGUUUACAUACAUGGAUAGAGCUCGACAAGGGAUACCAUUUUGCAUUGGUCUUAACCCAAAAUUUUGGCGAUCGGAAUUCCGGCGACCCCCACUUCCGCCGCCGCCUCCAGCGCUCUUCCAUUCUUGCCUCCAAUCGACUCGGACAUGAUUUUAUUAUCGAUUAUACCGAAAUCGAGAUUCAACUCAUCGUAUUAUAGUAUUUUGGUAUCAAUCAACAAUAAAACCAUGACCGGGUCGAAUCACCAUCAUCGCUGCCUUUGUCUCACCACUGUUUGUGUGCUCGAGUAGUCGGUAAGUCUUCAAAUUUGUCUCCCCUUUCCUGUUUCUGAUUUUCAGCUUGUGCUUCAUAUUUAAUUUUAAGGUUUACUCUUUAUAAUUUUGUUAGUAGUAUUUAUAGGUUAACUAAGCUAUUGUAAUGUUAGUUGUGAAUCGCUUGUUAGUUCAUAGCAUAAAAGCUCGUUGUCUUUGGCAUCGGCUUCCAUCGCUUGGUAUAACCCUAUUUCCUCUUUCCUUUUUCUUCUUUAUUCUUUCUUCUCUUUUCUUCUUCUCUGAUUUUCUGUGUGUAUUUUUCAUUAGGUUCAGGGAUUAAUCAUAGCCAUGAUUCUGUUUGUCGUAUUAUCAGUGUAUGUAAUUCGUUGUUAUUUUGAAAUCAUAUAUUUUUUUCAUAUCUUUAAAUUAGUUUUUUUUACCUGGCUGGUCGAUUAGCUCGUAUAUAGUUCAUCAGUUUUGAUUUUUGGUUCUUCGACCUAGCUGGUCGACUAUGUCAUAUGCAUUUGUUCUUGUUGAAGUUUUAGUUUUAUCGACCUAGCCGGUCGAUUGUUUGUUUGAUCGUGCUUGUUACUCUUGGAUAUUUGUUUCUCAACCUAGCCGGUCGAUUGUUUUAUCGUUUGUUUGAAUAUUAAGUUAGUCGCGACUACAAAUGAUGGAUUCAAUUCAAAUUGUUGGAUUUUUUGAUUCACUGAGUUAGUCGGUUCAUUGAAUAAUUUGUUGAGCUUGAUCUUAUAUUCCUUUAAGCAUGAUUUAGUUUGAGUUUUCAGCUUAAAUAAGUCAUGUAUUGAUUAAAAACUAAAGUAGUGAGAAAUACUCGAGUAUAAGGUACUCGUUUGGUUAUUUUUACUGUUUAAAGGGUUGUUUGGAGUACACUGCUCUUAGCACUAUUCAUAGUUGGUAUUAUCUUUUGGACAGAUUUUUUACCAAAAAAAUCUGUCAUUUGAAUAGUUGGGACAGAUUUUAGAUGGAAAAUCCGUCAUUUGGACAUAUUCAAUGAAGUAAUUCAAUCAUUCACCUUCCUAUAAAGGAAGAGGUCUUUCCUCACUUAAAAAAACACUCUUUCUUACAUUGGAGGAUAGAUAGCUUCUGAACAUGUUUUACACUGAGAAAAACACAAAAAACUUUGAGAAAAAUCAGCAGCUAAAACAUCGAAAAGUGAGCCGAAAAGCUGAAAGUUUGUGAGUUAUUUCUUUCUUUCCUAAGUCGGUGAAUUUUGGUCUUGGUUCCUGAGUCACUUCGGAUCUAAAAAAAUGAUGUUCGGUUUUUGUUUCAUUUGACUGGUGUUUGGCUUGCUGGUUCCUUGCUCUGCUGUCUGUUUUUCUUCUAUUUUCUACAAACUAGGUAUUUCUUUUAGCUCUUUAAUUUAGCUUUUAGUUGCAUAAAGCUAUUGUAAUGAAUGUGUUGGUGUGUUAUUAUUGUUACUUUACAUUUGUGUUUGAUCUUUUACUCAUAAAUGGAUGAAUGAAUGUUCAAAUUCACGAAUAUAUGCUUUGUUUCUCUUUUAAGUUUCAACUCUCCUAAACUCAAAAGUUGUGCAUGAUUGAAGCUAUGGUGACAGAUUUAUGGCGUAGUUCAGUUGAGGAGAAAGUAAAUAUAAGACACAUUUGAAAUCCUCCGAUAGUUGAUAGCUCAGAUAAAUGUUGAGUUUUUAAGUCGAAGAUGUGCGUAUGGUAGAGUUUAAGCUUAAGAGUAGUUGUAUUGACAUUCUUUGGUCCAAGUUUUUUUUUGUGAUUAUGAAUUUGUACUAGUUUGCUCUAGUUUUAUUUUAAGGUUUUUUUUCUUUUCGUUAAGUUUGACAUAAACUUUGUUCCCUUAUAUUUUUAUUUGCGUUAGUAGAGUUUUUGCAAAUAAGUUCUAAUACAUGUUAAAGUGUUUAAGUAGAUAGCGUAUUGUUUUGUUUAUUUAUUUGUUCUCUAGUUCGAAUAUAAGAAUGGAUAUUUAGAAGUUCCUCCUUCGUUUUAAUAUCUUUUAAAAGGUUGUUAAAAUAUAUUUUAGCUUGAAAAGUUGUGUAUCAUUGUGGAGUUAGUAUUUAUGUUAGAGUGAAUUUGAUAGUAAAAUUAAGCUUGUUUAAAAAAAAAUUCUCUUCUGUAUAUAUUUUAAGGAAUUCCUGUUGGAUAGUAAGUUAUCAAAUUAAGUUUUUACAUGUUCUUUCU
rnacentral:lncRNA from 1 species